rnacentral:rRNA from 1 species
GAUGAACGCUGGCGGCGUGCCUAAUACAUGCAAGUCGAGCGAACGGACGAGAAGCUUGCUUUUCUGAUGUUAGCGGCGGACGGGUGAGUAACACGUGGAUAACCUACCUAUAAGACUGGGAUAACUUCGGGAAACCGGAGCUAAUACCGGAUAGUAUUUUGAACCGCAUGGUUCAAAAGUGAAAGACGGUCUUGCUGUCACUUAUAGAUGGAUCCGCGCUGCAUUAGCUAGUUGGUAAGGUAACGGCUUACCAAGGCAACGAUGCAUAGCCGACCUGAGAGGGUGAUCGGCCACACUGGAACUGAGACACGGUCCAGACUCCUACGGGAGGCAGCAGUAGGGAAUCUUCCGCAAUGGGCGAAAGCCUGACGGAGCAACGCCGCGUGAGUGAUGAAGGUCUUCGGAUCGUAAAACUCUGUUAUUAGGGAAGAACAUAUGUGUAAGUAACUGUGCACAUCUUGACGGUACCUAAUCAGAAAGCCACGGCUAACUACGUG